rnacentral:sRNA from 1 species
UCCGUAGGUGAACCUGCGGAGGGAUCAUUACCGAGUUUACAACUCCCAAACCCCUGUGAACAUACCUUAAUGUUGCCUCGGCGGAUCAGCCCGCGCCCCGUAAAACGGGACGGCCCGCCAGAGGACCCAAACUCUAAUGUUUCUUAUUGUAACUUCUGAGUAAAACAAACAAAUAAAUCAAAACUUUCAACAACGGAUCUCUUGGUUCUGGCAUCGAUGAAGAACGCAGCAAAAUGCGAUAAGUAAUGUGAAUUGCAGAAUUCAGUGAAUCAUCGAAUCUUUGAACGCACAUUGCGCCCGCUGGUAUUCCGGCGGGCAUGCCUGUUCGAGCGUCAUUUCAACCCUCAAGCCCCCGGGUUUGGUGUUGGGGAUCGGCUCUGCCUUCUGGCGGCGCCGCCCCCGAAAUACAUUGGCGGUCUCGCUGCAGCCUCCAUUGCGUAGUAGCUAACGCCUCGCAACUGGAACGCGGCGCGGCCAUGCCGUAAAACCCCAACUUCUGAAUGUUGACCUCGGAUCAGGUAGGAAUACCCGCUGAACUUAAGCAUAUCAAUAAGCGGAGGA